AUUGAACGCUGGCUUUAGGCCUAACACAUGCAAGUCGAGCGGUAGCACAGAGAGCUUGCUCUCGGGUGACGAGCGGCGGACGGGUGAGUAAUGUCUGGGAAACUGCCUGAUGGAGGGGGAUAACUACUGGAAACGGUAGCUAAUACCGCAUAACGUCGCAAGACCAAAGUGGGGGACCUUCGGGCCUCAUGCCAUCAGAUGUGCCCAGAUGGGAUUAGCUAGUAGGUGGGGUAACGGCUCACCUAGGCGACGAUCCCUAGCUGGUCUGAGAGGAUGACCAGCCACACUGGAACUGAGACACGGUCCAGACUCCUACGGGAGGCAGCAGUGGGGAAUAUUGCACAAUGGGCGCAAGCCUGAUGCAGCCAUGCCGCGUGUGUGAAGAAGGCCUUCGGGUUGUAAAGCACUUUCAGCGGGGAGGAAGGCGUUAAGGUUAAUAACCUUGGCGAUUGACGUUACCCGCAGAAGAAGCACCGGCUAACUCCGUGCCAGCAGCCGCGGUAAUACGGAGGGUGCAAGCGUUAAUCGGAAUUACUGGGCGUAAAGCGCACGCAGGCGGUCUGUCAAGUCGGAUGUGAAAUCCCCGGGCUCAACCUGGGAACUGCAUUCGAAACUGGCAGGCUAGAGUCUUGUAGAGGGGGGUAGAAUUCCAGGUGUAGCGGUGAAAUGCGUAGAGAUCUGGAGGAAUACCGGUGGCGAAGGCGGCCCCCUGGACAAAGACUGACGCUCAGGUGCGAAAGCGUGGGGAGCAAACAGGAUUAGAUACCCUGGUAGUCCACGCCGUAAACGAUGUCGAUUUGGAGGUUGUGCCCUUGAGGCGUGGCUUCCGGAGCUAACGCGUUAAAUCGACCGCCUGGGGAGUACGGCCGCAAGGUUAAAACUCAAAUGAAUUGACGGGGGCCCGCACAAGCGGUGGAGCAUGUGGUUUAAUUCGAUGCAACGCGAAGAACCUUACCUGGUCUUGACAUCCACAGAACUUAGCAGAGAUGCUUUGGUGCCUUCGGGAACUGUGAGACAGGUGCUGCAUGGCUGUCGUCAGCUCGUGUUGUGAAAUGUUGGGUUAAGUCCCGCAACGAGCGCAACCCUUAUCCUUUGUUGCCAGCGGUCCGGCCGGGAACUCAAAGGAGACUGCCAGUGAUAAACUGGAGGAAGGUGGGGAUGACGUCAAGUCAUCAUGGCCCUUACGACCAGGGCUACACACGUGCUACAAUGGCAUAUACAAAGAGAAGCGACCUCGCGAGAGCAAGCGGACCUCAUAAAGUAUGUCGUAGUCCGGAUUGGAGUCUGCAACUCGACUCCAUGAAGUCGGAAUCGCUAGUAAUCGUAGAUCAGAAUGCUACGGUGAAUACGUUCCCAGGCCU
rnacentral:rRNA from 1 species